rnacentral:tRNA from 1 species
GUCCUUGUAGCUUAAUUGGAUAGAGCGCUUCCCUGCGAAGGAAGCAGAUGUGAGUUCGACUCUCACUGAGGGCGCCA